GGCGGGAUUAUGGAAACGCAGCGAUGCUUUUCUCUAAAGAGCACCACCUUCUUGAGCAAAGAAUAUUACGAUAAUUAGACAGGUUUUAUGUAGGCUACAUUGUGAACAGUGCUGCUAUUGCAAUGGACAUAAUCUUGCUGUGUACUAAGAGGUUGAUGUAUCCUAUAAUUGUAUAGGCGUCAUGUAUCCGACAGCACAGUCACGUGGACACCAUAUGUCAAGACCAAUACCUUCACCUGAAUAAGCCUCUCCCACAGAUGCACUGCACUACGUUGACUGGCCAUUGUUGUGACAUGUCAUAUUGAUUGAAUGGCUCAAUGUGAUGUGAUCAAUCUGAAAAUCAAUUCUUCGGCGUCUACAAGUAGUUCCAACCUGACCAGCCAUGUGCGAAUGUUAUUCGGAUUGAAAAUGCGUGUUGGCGAUGUAAUUCUUCAGGAAUCUUCAGGUAUUCUGAAUAUCAGCACAGAAGGUGCUUUUCACUGUGAACAAUCAGUCAGCACAGCCAUGGCCUCACUCGGUGGUCUGUUGCCAAGGGCAAUAGUCCUGGCUGAAGGAUAGAGAGAGAGAGAGAGAAAAGGCAGCCUUGCGGUGCAGAAGAAGAGAUGGUCAUCACUGACAGGAGCUCCAGCACUCCUGGGCCCAAGAAGAAGGAACCGAAGAAGAGGACAUCCCGCCCCCGUGGCCUGCCCUCCCCGGCGCUCUGCUGCGCAUGCGGCGUGUGCGUCAUGCUGGCAGGCAUCAACAUCACCCUGGUGGGGGCGUUCGCCUUCAGCACCAUGGUACCCUCUGCCAACCCUCCCAUCAUCAUAGGGCCCAUCCUGCUUCUGGUGGCCUUCUCUUUCUUCGGAGCGUGCUGUGUCUGCAGCCGCCUGCCCCCUGCCCAGGGCUCCCGGAGGUCUAAGGUGGGCGGAAGGAACAUGGGGAUGAUGGGGCGUGGAGGUUUAGCCGGGGGAGCGACGUUUGAGAUUGAGACGAGUGAGCACACAUUGCAGGACACGACAGCAGUACAGCUCAGCCCCUCAGCCUCACCUGGGUCAUCCCGGGCAUCCAGCCCUGAGCGGGAUGCUUCUCCUGACCCCGGCCCCCCAGGGACCUUCAAGCUCUUCACCAUGGAGACGAAUGGCCCCACCUCCGCCACGGCCUGCUAUUCCGCCUCCUCGGCAGGGGGAGGGGCUGUGAGGCUCAACCUGCCACGUGAUGAUGUGGCCACCUAGCACACCCCUGAUUAACACAUUGUAGCAUGAGCCUCCUGCCCCAGGGGACACUAUGUAAAUGUUGGCUGUGACGGUCAUGGAAUUAUGGAUGAUGGUAAUUGGCCAGCCAACAGCCAACCAGUAAUUAACAUCCAAUCCAAUGUUGAAAGAACGUGGAUGAUGGUUCUGUUGGAAUUGAUGUUCCUACCUCAGAGCUGUUCUAUUCAGCUCCCUCUCUUAACAUCCAUGGGGCAUUAUUGUAAGCGGUUUCUAACUGGAGAGCAGAAUGAGAGAAUUGAAGAGUUUUCUCUGUGGCAUUCCUGAGGGGUAACACUCAUGUGUCCCUUUUUUUGUUGUUGACUGUCUGGACCUCUGUGCUCAACAUUUCAGCCCAUUAUUCUGAAGCAAUUUUUUUGUUGUUGCCAGAACUGAAAGACUUGACACGAAAUUGCAACAAGUUUAAUGCCAUCAUUUCAAUUCCUAUAGUUACGUUUGGUUUGGCAUUACAGUAUGUGCUGCUUUGGUCUUAAAUUAAAUGCAAAUAACAUAUGGUCAUGGGUUCGAUUGUGUAUGCAUGACUAAAUCGCUUUGGAUUAACUAAAAGGCAUUUAUUAUUAUGGGGUCACACGGUUCCUUUGCAAUAUAAUCUCAGUUGAAAGGAUCAGCAACAGAGGACUAAUGUUACUUUCUUCGCAUUAAGUUUUCCAAAAUUGUUUCUACGGUCAAAACGUAUUAUGUAUGAUAUACAAUGUACACUGUAUGUGUUGGGUUCAUAGGGUGAGUAUAUUUGAGUAACAUGGCAGCAUCCACGGAGUGUUCAUAAUAUCACUGAGUGAAUCUCGCCUGCACUUACUGUGUGACUAUUAUGUUCUUGUUUUUACCACUCCCCAUAGGCCUACUAUAAAGAGCUUCAUAUUAGAGCCAAUUGAGUUUUCACAGCACUCACUGACACUUUGACAGAAUACAUAAACAGCCAUUGUGUUUACAAAGGAAAACGCUAUCAACACUACACUUAAAAAAAGGAAUGAAUAGUAUUUGCACAUGUGCCCUACUAGCAUUCAUCAUUUACCAACACAUUUCUUUCUAAACCUCACUGUAUAAGCUUACCAACAACAUUAUAUUCACUAUAGCUCUGUUUCCAACGUGGGGCUCAAACCAAGAUGCAAACGUAUUUAAUAUUUAUUCAAAAGUUUGAAUUAAAAAAAAACUUCUAUACAGAAUGAACUCCAGCAUUUCUAUUAUUUUGGAUUUGGCCCCCCUGAUGAUCUGACAGUUACUCUACCGAUUCUAUGUUGAAGUGUCCAAACAUAGCAAUCUGGACUCAGGGGUAGAUAGUGUGUAUAUAUAAAUCUGGGUCACUACAAUUAGUAUGAUAUGUUACCUUUCCCAUUGUAUCUAUUCCAUUGUGGAUGUCCAUCCAUUCCGUAUGAUAUGUUAUGAAUUACAAUUCAUACAAUAUGUUGUGAAUUGUAAUUCGUUAUGGCUAACGUUAGCUAGGAGGCUAACGCUAAUAUUAGCUAGGCAAGGGGUUAGGAGUCAGGUUAAAGGCUAUGUGUUAGGGGAAGGGUUAGCUAAAAUGCUAAGAAAUUGCUAAUUAGCAAAAAUUCUAAAGUUGUCCAUGAUAAGAUUUGACACAAACCCUUUGGUUUGCUAAACACCUACUAGUGAUGCGCAGGUUGACUCAUAACCUGCAGUGCCCACGGUUAUAUAUCUUCAGGACUGGUGGGACAGGUCAUGAAAUAUUGUGUGGAUGAAGGGCGGGUGGGUGGCAGGCGAGUUGAAUAAAGAAAAAACAAUACCUUAAAUAAUCUAUACAUUUAUCAUUCUUAUGUCAUUUAUAUCUAUAGGCUACAUUUGAGGUUUUUCUGUAAUUAUUUUAGGUUAUCUAGCAUUAGUGCAUAGGUCCUAAAGCUUAGACUUAACUGUACACACGGCAAAUAUCCUACACGCCAAAUUGCUUUUGGGAACGAAGGCAAAAGGGGCAACGUCUGAGUUUAAUUAAAAAAGAGAAGAGCUGCGAAAUGGAGAAAGGAGGGCCAGAACUCAUGUUUGGGAAAGAUUUGUUGAUGUGGUAAAAGAGGAUGAUAGCAGUCCCAGAUGUUAUGUGUGACGAUUGAGGCGCUAUGCAAAUUUGAAAGUCACAAGAUGGGGAUUUCAAAUAGGCCCCGUGGCAUGUCAAGGGAACAGUAGCCUACUGAUUCGAUGGGAUUGGACACUGACUGUAGGUCUAUAACCUCUCACAUAGCCUUUAAUAUUAACUCCUGCAGAAUUAAGCAUUUAUUGCAGUAGAAUUAUACACCAAAUGUAGUGUAUAAUGUUUACACAGGAAGGGAGAAAUAUGAUUUCUGUCUUUGUGCAUCUUCAAAAAAUGCACCUCUACAGGUGCUAUCUUUAUCAGUAUCAUAAAAAUGGAUAGUAAUUCAACCACAUAAAAUAUGCACCCAAGCUGAACUGAAAUCUUAUCAGAAACAUGUUGGGUCGUUGUAACAGAUUUCUAUUUCCUUACAAAUGGUCAAACUGAUGUCAUUUGAAAAUGUUGCACAGACAGUCUUUCCUGUUUUAUUUUGCCGGUCCCUAAACGCUUUCAACCGCAAAAGAAGCAGAGAUGAUAGAGAACUACCGAUGUCAACUAAAUUGAAACAUUCAUUCUAUCGAUUUAUGACAUUCUAGUGAGCAAGGGUUUAUUCUAGGGCAACAUAAUGACAAAAGAGACGCUGCAUGUAUCUAUUUAUAGACAAGUUGACUAUAAACCAAAUUAUAAACCAAAACAUCUGAAUCAGGCCAAAAAAAUCUGCACCACUUGCCAAAUUAUAGUUCCGUCAUCUGACUGUAGCCUACAGCAGCAUAUUAGUUGGUUAGGGUUGGGUGCAGCCAUCAGGUUUUCACCUUAUCACAGAGUCGGGUGUUUGUGGAUGGGUUAUUAGCAAUUGCGGGUAGGUGGGCUGAACAAACAGCUUACCCGCGCACCACUAACACCCACCCCGACCAACCACCCUACUUUGUUUUUGCCUUAAGUAACUUUCUGUCUUAUGUAACCAUACCAAACAUAACAUAUACUAAUUUGAGUGUCCCGGACUUAUGUUUACUAUGUUACGUCUAGUCUUUGAGACCUUACAGUAUCCCAGAUUCACUUUGAAAGUAAUGCUGCCUUAGACUGAGAUCUCAGGAUCAAACAAAUUAGGGCUAUUUCAAUGUGUGAUGACAUUGUCAGGAGAAAUCAGUUUGUAUCACAGCAGGAUGAUAUUUUCAACUUGUAUUUUUUUUAUUCCCCAAUAUUUGUCCUAUAUUGUCAUUUGUUUUGAAAACAAAAGUGCCAUGCAGCAAACUUUGCACGACACGUUUCCAUGUUAUUAUCACAAAGGGGGUAAUGUCUUUGUAAAGUAAUUUAUAUUUUAUGGGAACAACCUCCCCUAAGGAAAAGAGAAAGGUCAUAGUUUGAGGGAUGACAUGCAGCAUGAGUGUGAUUUACAUGUCCAGGGAGAGAACUUGUUGUAAAUGUGUAGUGUCAAGAUGUUUGAAAAUGUAUUCUGUUUUGAUAGCAUCUUUAACAAUGUAUUCUUUUUGUGAAUUUUAUUUACUUCAUUUGAUAACAAUACAUGUGAUACUUGUAAAUAAAAAUAUGUUCAUAUAAAAAGGAUGACAAAGAGAAAGAGUUUGUUUGCAGUAAACUGCACAAGUUUCUUUUAAAUAAAAAGAUGGUUGUUUGCA